AAGUCUUGAAUUUACAUAUACUCCCAUAGUACAUGUGAAUACUUAUUUUUUUCAAGUGAGAUACUGGUAAUCGAUACAGCCAUUGAAAGUUUUACACAACAUAUAAAAGAGGUAGCGGUAACUAAAUUUUUGUAUUUUUUUUUGGUUAUGACACUAUUGAAGUAAAUGAGCGAUACGUAUCUCUGGUGUCAGGUAUAGAAAUUAUAACUCCAUUUUUGCUUUUUUUUAGUUUUUAAUUAAAGUAAAAUAAAUGUGUGCUUAGAUGUAAGAAGUAGCACUUGCUAUAACAUCCCAUUUCUAUGUACAAUAAUUCUUGUUUAUGAAGUCCAAAAAUGUAUUCCCCCGGCGUUUAUAAUUAGGGCUAUCACCGAAUCCAUCGUAGAACGAUUUUUCGUGAAACCUACGAAAAUGCUACCACUGAAUACACAGGUUCGUAUCAAUUCGGUUUCAGAGAUCGCAUUUUUGUAGAUUUCGCGAUAUAUCGCAUUACGAUGGGUGCUGUGAUAGCCCCCAAUGUUUCAUCACAAAUGCGAAUGGCACUUCCUUGAACUAAAGUUAUGAUUUUCUUACCAGUCACCACAGAAAAAGUUAUGUUUUUCCUACCUGACACCACAGCUAUGUCAAGCACGCAGAUUUUUCGGCAACCGUCAUCAAGCAGUUUUUUGCCAUUUCACCAAGAAUGGCAUCUUUUUAAGAGACUACGUUCAGUUCUUAAUAAAAAAUUACUACAUACUUCAUGAUUUCAGUCACAAGUAGCCUAUAUGUUUAUCUCUACCAUCUGGUUCUUUUUUAACAUCACACAUUUAUCUCUUCUGAAAAAAAUUCACUUUGGCCGGAUAAAAUUCAUUUAUUUUAAAUACAUAUGUUACUUCAAUAUUUCCUGUUCACUAGUAGUUUGAAGCGGACAUAUUUAGUGCCUUUGGAAAAAAAAAACCUUGAUCGCUGAAUAUUGUUCAGUGCAAAUAAGCAUAAUGAAGAGAAAUUCCACUUGACGGUUGCCUAAACAGUUUUUGCAUGGACACACAUAAAUAUAAAUAGCCUCCAGUAAUUUAUGAAGGUGUGCAUUAAAGCAUUGAGCGGAAAUCAGCGUGGGUUUUGCAAAAUUUCACGUUGAAGCUUUCCAAAAAAACAUGCAAUAAGAUUUUUAAAUUCGUUGUUUUUCAGCUACCAUAAAAUAGUUCCCUUUUUGCAGCCUCUCAAUAUUUAGGAUUUUCAAAAGUAAUUGCCAACAAUGAAAAUAUAGUAGCGAAAUAUUUAAAUAAUUAAACCUCUUCCGCAUCACUUCAAAUCCGCCUACUGAUUUCUGCACACUGCUUUUAAUGAAACUUUAUUGGUUCAACACAGUUCAGAAUAGGUCUGUUAAUGUAACAUUUAAUUUUAUUACAAGAAAAAACAGCAACAACAAAGCAGAAAUAUAAACGUAACCAUAACCAUAUCGGAACCAUAAUUUCAAACCAUAAUUAUUAGUCAUUAACUUAUGUUAAUCAUAAUCAUAGUCAGCAUUAACUUUCUUUUAAAGAUACACAUUUGCCCUCACCUUCGUUGUUUUGCAUUACAAAAGAAAAAUCUUGAAAUAAGAUAUAAAUUUCCACGAAAGCUCUGCAAGUUGGUGUAGCUGCUUUCACAAAAGCUUUAAAGCUCACCGUCAAACCUUGGCCACUUGUAGGGCGUAUCCCUCUAGUGCGCAUAACUUGCACCUAUACUGAUCUUUUCGCUUCAAGUCACUAUCGGUUUUAUAAUUAUUAUUAUAUUUAUAUUAAUAUCACACAAAUUAAGGAUUACACUUUAUAACUUUGUAGCUUAUUCAUGAAUUACAAAUCGGUUCGUAUUCCGUUUGUAAACGUGAAAAGCGUUUUCAUAAUAAUAUUAAAAAAUCUUUAAUCCCUUGAUUUUUCUCUUUAUUGAAAUAUAUAUAUAAAUAAUUUUCCCAUCUGUCCGCUUAAUCACUUUAAUAUUAAUAAAAAAAAAAAUAAAAAUGCUUGUCGGGCUUAAAAAAACACAAACAAGUACACAUGCAGACUAAAUAUUUGUUAGUUUCUAAAUUAGAAAUAAUUCAAUUCUAAUUUGUUUUAUUUACAUACAUCUCAAUCAUAUGUUUUAUCUUAAAACUUUUAGCUCGUAAAAUAUUUCGAACAAAUUGUACAAAUUUUCAUUCAAUCACCUUCGUUACCUACAAUUUUUUAUCCAAAUUUGUAAAAUUUCUAGCACUUGUAAACUAAUUUAUUACAAUAGCAGUUUCAAUAAAGCUCGACAGCAAAUAAAAAAACACAGCUUAUUUUUAUUUUAAACUGGGUGAACCCGUUUUUAAUUCUCCAUGCCACAUGAGUAAAGGAAAUUUCGUUGCGCAGCUUGGUGACGAUUAUUAAAGCUGCAUAAACUGCAUUUUGCAACUGAAGUUAAGGGAACAUAAACAUUUAUUGGACAAUCAAAUCUAAAACUUUCAAGAUUUUGCAUUACAGAUUAUCAUUUUGUUGAGCUAUCACCCCAUAGGACUGGUCAUUGGACUGAAGCAGAGGUAAAUAUCAUAAUCAUUUAUCUAAAUCACUUACCUUCUUUAUGCCAAAAUUUUCUUCCCAGGUUAUUUGCCACCUUAAGCAAAGAAUUUUUCCCUACUUGACCUUCACCUGACCUUGAACCUGACAUGAUGGGGCUAACAGACGUCGGAUUCACAUUCAGCCCGUCGAAUAACAUAGGGAUAUAGAGGUGCCUGGAUCAAAAGCUGUUCAUAUAUAAACACACCCAUUUAGACCAGGUAUUGAUGAACUAAUAUCUACAAACUGUGCUGAAAGCACGCUGUAAAUGGGGAAUUCAAUCCACGGCUUCAUAAAAUGCAUUUUGGAUGAUUAUUGGCUACCUACAGCAAUAUGUCAACAAGGAAAUGUCAAAUUCUGAUCGGAUUAACAAAUCUAAACUGUAUAGAUUUUUUCAUAGAUUACCAUUUCGUUGAGCUAUUUAAUAAUUAACAGAAUUGGGCUGGACUGAAGGGAAGGUCUGCAUGCAAGCCGCCUGCCUCAGCAGUUCUUCAUAUAACAGCAAUUCGUAUACCACACAUGUUUCAACCUGGUAUCAACGAGCAUUAAAUGCAAUUAAAUGUAUAACUGGGACACAGUAGAAGCAAGAAUUGUAAAAUAUAUAUCCAAAAUCGGACAAACACCUGCUUUUAAAUUAUGUUCGGUACAUUAAUAUAAUAGAGAAAUGACUCAAAUUUGAAUUGCAGAUUUCCACUUCCUGGAAGCUAUAUUUUGUGAUCAUCUGAAUUAGGCAGGAUUGAUGCGAAGGUGUUUGGCUAAAUUAGAUGAAAAUAACCUUGUAUAUGUAACAGCAAAUCGAGUCCAACAGCCUGCGACCAUACACAUUUCGGUCUGCUUGCAACACCUCGAUGUUAACCUGCUUGAAAGGAAAGAAAAAGCUGUAUAUUCGGUACGUUAAUAUCAUGGAGAAAAAAAAACUAAAAAUAUCGAAGCAGCACUGGACUACAACGGCGAUUGUAUUCUUUUCAUUGCCUACGGCGCCAGAUUUGAUUCCAAUUUUGGAUCGCUGAACUGGAGUGGUUUCGCCAGAAUGUUUCAUUGCCUACGGCGCCAGAUUUGAUUCCAAUUUUGGAUAGCUGAACUGGAGUGGUUUCGCCUUAUGUUUCAGAAUUCAUACAUACAUUUUAAUAAUAAUGCAUAAAAUAUUUAUUUAUAAACGACACUUUUAUUGUAAUUUCACUUCUAAUUUUUGUUAA